rnacentral:misc_RNA from 1 species
GCAGAAGUUACAUGGACAGAGAAUAGUGUCACAGUUAAAGGACCUCCAAGGAAUUCUUCUGGAAGGAAGCAUUUGCAUGCCAUUGAUGUGAACAUGAAUAAAAUGCCUGAUGUCGCCAUGACACUUGCUGUAGUUGCACUUUUUGCUGACGGUCCCACUGCUAUAAGAGACGUUGCUAGUUGGAGAGUCAAGGAAACUGAGCGCAUGAUCGCCAUAUGCACAGAACUUAGGAAGUUGGGAGCAACUGUUGAAGAAGGACCUGACUACUGCAUAAUCACCCCACCGGAGAAAUUAAAUGUGACCGAAAUUGAUACAUAUGACGAUCACAGGAUGGCCAUGGCCUUUUCUCUUGCUGCUUGUGCAGAUGUUCCAGUCACCAUCAAUGACCCUGGCUGCACGCGGAAAACCUUCCCAAACUACUUUGAUGUCCUUCAGCAGUACUCCAAGCAUUGAAGCCACUUCAAUAUGUAGUAGAGUGUAAGUAAAAACAUGUGAAAGAAUUUAGUUCUUGUACAACAAGACAGGCUAUUGCUGGUAUCUGAACAACACAAUGACUUUGACUUGUUUAAUUAUUUGCCAUGUGAUCAUGUUCAGUGUAUUUGUUAAAGUUUAGCUGUUUUUUGUUGUUUUUAAAGGAAUGUAUA